GGUCGUCCACGCCGUAAACGAUGGACGCUCGGCGUCUGCGGGCUAUUGACGCCUGUGGGCGCCCCAGCUAACGCGGUAAGCGUCCCGCCUGGGAACUACGAGCGCAAGCUUAAACUCAAAGGAAUUGACGGGGGCCCGCACAAGCAGCGGAGCGUGUGGUUUAAUUCGAUGCAACGCGCAGCACCUCACCCAGAUUGGACAUGGACCUGCAUCUCGGUGAAAGCCGAGCGCCUUCGAGGGUGGUCCACAGAUGCUGCAUGGCUGUCGUCAGCUCGUGUCGUGAGAUGUUGGGUUCAG
rnacentral:rRNA from 1 species